rnacentral:pre_miRNA from 1 species
AUGAUAUUCCCUCCAUCUGUAAAUAGUUGUCGUAAAAAUGGAUGUAUCUAGAUGUAUUUUUAGUUCUGGAUACAUCUUUUUAUUUAUUUAUGCGAUAAAUAAUUUCAAACGGAGGAAGUACUCU